rnacentral:rRNA from 1 species
GAAAAAAUGCGUGUGCGCGAGUCUUGGGUGCAAACCUAAAGGCGCAAUGAAAGUGUCAGAGGGGAGCCUCCUCCGGGAGCGCUCUCCGCAGGGAGGAUGGGCCGCCGUUCAAUUAUUUGUCGGAGCCCCGCACUCCCGGGGCGUCUCGUUCUCAUUACGAGUAGAGACGCACCAGGAGCGCACACGCUGGUAUCCGAAAGAUGGUGAACUAUGCCUGGCCAGGACGAAGCCAGGGGAAACCCUGGUGGAGGUCCGAAGCGAUUCUGACGUGCAAAUCGAUCGUCUGAGCUGGGUAUAGGGGCGAAAGACCAAUCGAACCAUCUAGUAGCUGGUUCCUUCCGAA